CAGUAGCCGCGGUAAUACGUAGGGUGCAAGCGUUAAUCGGAUUUACUGGGCGUAAAGCGUGCGUAGGCGGCUUCUUAAGUCGGAUGUGAAAUCCCUGAGCUUAACUUAGGAAUUGCAUUCGAUACUGGGAAGCUAGAGUAUGGGAGAGGAUGGUAGAAUUCCAGGUGUAGCGGUGAAAUGCGUAGAGAUCUGGAGGAAUACCGAUGGCGAAGGCAGCCAUCUGGCCUAAUACUGACGCUGAGGUACGAAAGCAUGGGGAGCAAACAGGAUUAGAUACCCCCGUAGUCCCUGUCUCUUAUAC
rnacentral:rRNA from 1 species